AGAGAUGGUAAUUUUUUUCUUGAUGCUAGAACAAGAGAGACCAAUAAAAGCUGCCAUCGAUUGGUCACUUCUCUGCUCGCUAUCUUUGGGCGCUGCUUGCCUGUCAAAAAUUUUACAUGUGAAAGCAACAACAAAGAUAUCUAGUUGAAUUCGUGUUGGAGAUUUGCGAAUAGCUCAAUAGUCGCUUGCUGAGUGCUACCAAGUUUUGUUUUACUCAUUUUAGAACCAUUUUACUAUUGUGAACGGCUCAAAGAACAAAUUUCUGUCGAAAUAAUAAAAAUUGUUAUACACAAAUUUGAAAUUGAAAAGGGCAGGCGAAGAUAAAUCAAAACGUUAGGCAUAGACGGUGGUUGAAGAGUUUAGUGCGACCAAGUAUAUACAAUUCGAUUUCAGUGCUGCCAGUUUGAAUGGAAAUUUGGAAAGUUUGUUCGUUUGGCUUGUCUAUAGCAGUUAGCCAAUCGAUGACAGCUAAAAUAAUACAGGGUAUCCCUGCCAACAUUUUCUAUCGCAAAAGUCACUUAUAAGUGACUUCAAGAAGUUACAAUUCAACGUCUGCGAUACAUUUUUUUUAUCGUAGAAGUCACUUCCUUAUUGAGAAGUUGUUUCCCGCGGACGUUACUUUCAGAAGUUACGUAGUAGUGCCUUGUGGAAGUUACGUAUUAGUGACUUGUAGAAGUUACGUAUUAGUGAU